UUGAUCUUCCACCGUAUGUACACAGGAUGGAGGCUCCAAAGGCAGUGCAGCAAGAGGUUGUGGAAGUCUCUAAUAACAAUGCAGCGAGAGGGCGGAAGUAUCCAAAGGGAUCGCAUUGAUCCCUGCAGGCUCUCACAUCCGAGCUUUGGAUCAUGCGACCCCUUUGGAUUCCUCCUCCUCAUGCUUCCUUCAUUCUCUGCAGAUACAAGCACCACCCAUCUUCUCUCUCCCUCUUUCUUUCUCUGCCUGUAUGUGUUGGUUGCUAUAUUGCUUUUACUUGAAUUUGUUGAUAUAAGUUGGUUGAUCGUUUUCCUUCUUAGCCGGGUAGACAUGGGUUUCUCCAUUUGUUUUCAAUGUGAUCUACAAUAUGGCAUAUCUCGAGUUGCGAAUAACGAUUCUGUUCUGAUGAUAGAAUUUGUAGUUGGUUUUCCUGAGAAAAAAGAAAAACAACAACAAUAGUGGAGCGGCUUCCAUCUUAGACACUGGUUUCUCUUGCUACAGCCUUGGUCAUGGAAGUAGAUCCCCGUGAGUGCAUGUAUGUGUGUGUGAUUUGGAAACGUGGACGACGGUUGAAAUGAUUGUCAAGUUACCUUUGAUCAGGUGAAAUAUUUAAGGGCUACCCUCUAAAUUUUUCAGUUUCUGGUAGCCUUUUCUUUUUUCACCUUCUGCAACUCCAGCCAGUUGGAUUUCGGGGCCGAUUCCGUCAAGCGGUGUGACGAUAAGAACUUCUAUUGAAAGAACUGAACUCACUCUGCUACAGCCAUGGAUGAUAGCUGCACCAGCAGCAACCUACUCCUUCGCCAUUAGCCAGGAUGCAGGGACUUGGUUAACCUACAUAUGGUCAAACUUCAGCAGAAAAUGUUAAAAAAUUGAUGAGGGGAACAGGAAAGAACUUCUUGCCAGACAAAAGUGGUUCUUGGGGAGCAAACUUCAAGAUGUGUAUUAUGGUGGCCGAGUCGCUUAUCAAGAAGUCAGCAAACCUUACCCCGUCAUCAUAACAGCAGCGAGCAGCAUUGCAUGUGAAGUUUCAGUCUCCUUAUAUUGCUAAGUUCGCGGGAUCAAGAUCGUACUUGGAAUUUGGAAAAGGUCAAGUUGACUUCAGGAAAGCCUUUUGGUUUCUGCCGCCGGAAAUGGCGACAACCAGUCGCCAAGAUUUGUCUAAUUUUCACACAUUAAGAGUAGAUUUUGGAAUUUCUUUUCCCGGAAAUCGUAAUAAAUUCCAUUUAUUAGUUAAUCUAUAUAAUUUUUUGACGAUAACGAGAAGAUGGCUCCUGACCAGAAGAUGAUCGAUCUAAUUGAGUGACACCAAGUUCGCGCGGCAACAAGGGAUGUGAGCGGAUCGGAUCCGGGUUGCAGGCUUUUUUUUUUUCUUUAUCUUUUUCUUUUU